GAGCCCCAGGACUGCGGAGGCCACACUGUGAGUGCGGUUGUCCGUUCGUCCCCGGGGAUGCCGUUGACUGCAGCGGCCUCAGGCUUGCGUGGGCUGUCUCUGCCUGGCCUCCCUCUCCUUGCGGCGCGGGAGCACAGAGGGACAGGCGGAGCGCUUACUGGCUGUGGACGGGAGCUGCUGAAGCUGGAGAGGCCACAGAAAGGUAAAGAAGAAGAAAUGGAAGGCCAUCUGGCUGGCAGCUGCCCCCCGCUGCAGGCAAGAGAGAGCCUGCCUCUCCGCGUGUGGAAGGAUCCCUCUUCGUAGUCCACAGCAGGUCAGACCGCCAGGGUCUGUACACGUCACCAACAGUGCAGUA